rnacentral:misc_RNA from 1 species
GUGAAGCAUGAGCAAUUCUACGGUCUUUCAGGAGGUACCAUGAGGUACCAAAAAUAUAGUGUAAAAUUUGGUACCUCAUAGUAUCUAGGUACCAAGACUUACCAAAUUUAUAAUAGAAAAAGUGGUACCUCAUGGUAUCUCCUCAAGGACCGUAAAAUUGCUCAUCCAAU